rnacentral:lncRNA from 1 species
GCGAAGGGCAGAAAUGUAAUGAUGUUUCUCUCUACAGUUCUGGUGUUCUGUAGAGAUAGGGAGCAAAUAAAGAAAGUGAACACACACUCAAAACCUGCAGAGGAUUUCAUCAAGAGACAUGAAGAUCUCAAGAUAUAUUAAGAGAUAGAGACUCUCAGAAAGGGUUUUUGGUAAACAACUCUUUUGUGUUUGUUGUUGUUAGGAUAAAAUGUUACUCUAAGCAUCUUUUUCUCCUAGUACUUCUCUUCCACCUCUUGAGCUUUACUAUUAAAAAAAAAAAAACUGGAUAAAAAACUUUUAAAAUAUUAAAUUGAAAAAAGAAAGGCAACAUAUAUUGACUUUGUAACUACUGGGGACCAUCAAAAUUGUACCUUUAUAGGUGCUUUCUAAUUUAAUGUAGCAUUAUCAUAACUGUAUGGUCAGUUUUAUUUUUUUCUAACUUUACAGGUAAAGGAACUAAAGUGAGUAACAUUUAAAUAGAUUUUCCUAUGUCAUAUGGGUAAUAACUGACAAAACAAAAUCUGAAUCCAGGGAAAAAUGACCUAAAAUCUAGGUUCUUUCUCUACACCAUCUUGUUUUAAAUAAGUAAGUGACUAUUUGUAAAUGUUUAAUUACUUUAAAUUUUGCUUCUGUUUUCUGAUUGUGAAUUCCUUAUCAAUAUAAUUUUUCUCAAACUUUUCCUAAUUAACAUAUUUAAUUAUGGAAGAUAAUGUGAAACCCAUACCAAUAAAAGGUUGGGAAACUUAUUAUAAAUUGUCUACAAACUUAAGCUAUCCUUUGGGACUCCUAUUAUAACUUCAUAACUCAUUUAAGAUUUGCAUUUUAUUAUGUAAUAUGUCUAUUUUAUAAUGAAAACCAUUUUAAAAUCCUAUUCUUAAAAACACAAAGCUUGGGCUGGGAAUGUGGCUCAAGUGGUAGCACGCUCACCUGGCAUGCCUGCGACCCGGGUAAAAAAUAAAUAUUAAAAUUCUCUCUCUCUCUCUCUCUCUCUCUUAAAAAAACCACAAAGCUAAAUAUUCUAACUUGUCAUAUUAAUAACUAGGCAUUAUAUUAUUGAAUUAAUUCUAAGGAGUUUGUAAAAUGGGUUAAAUAAAGACUCAUAUAUUCCUAUCUAUU